rnacentral:lncRNA from 1 species
GAGAGACAGAGACCAACAGAGCAUUGACACAGGUCCACAGAGACAGAGCUAGAGACAGAGAGAGCGUGCACGGCGCACAUGUAUAUAAAGCCUGUGGGGCGCCUUUUCUUUUCACAUAGUGUGAUCCAGUCCUAUCAAUUACUAGGAUAUUGGCAUUUGUGAUCAUUGCGUCGUCUGGAAUUUUUUUCUGGAAAAAAGAGGAAACACAGCCAUCUGCCCAGAGCCAUCCAGAAUAUGUCCCAGAGGCCUGUCUGUGUGUACGCGCACUCAGAAGCCUGGGGGCCCUUUCCUUGUCUAAAUGUAGCUCCCCCACCGCGUCCCACCCCUGCACAGGAGCGAGGCCUGUGUCAACUUCAGCAGAGCGAGAAUGAGGACAGGCCCAGGGGCAGGGAACUGGACGAAGGGAGUUGGAGGCCUUUUCUUGGGAAUGGGUGGACCAUUGCCCUGCAUGGGGACAGGGACGGCACUGGUGGGGGAAGGAAAUCUUGAGCUGGUUUCGGCCUUGACCCUCAGCAGCUAGCCCCGGGAGCUCUCAUUCUCUGGACGCCAGGGCCUUGGGUUCCUUGGAUGAGGUGCAUCCCAGCACAGAAGGGCAGCACAGAGGCAGCCUGAGAAGAUUCUGUCGCUGCCAGGUCACCAGGACCUCUGGACCACAGCUGGGUUGCGCUGUUUUCCAGUUUGUGAAACUAGGACUUUGGGGAACAUCCUGUGAAUUGGUGUCAUUUUGAUUUUCCUGGAGGAUUUUUGAGGUCAGCGUGACUGCUGUCACUAACUAAAAUAAAAUCCGAAGUCCCCAAGUGACUGAACAGACCCCCUCUUGGCCAAGGGGACCCCAGAGAAACCUGAAAGCUGAGCUCCCAGCCAUGAGGGGACGGGCGAUCGGACACGCUUCAUCACAGUCCCUCCCCUUUGUGGUUUAAACGACGAUGAUCGGCUGUCAUGCUAAAAUAGAGACACGAGACCGACAGCACAGACUCCUUAUGGCAAUAAGACACCAAAUUAUAAGCAGCACCUCAGGCCACGCCAGGUAAGGGUCGAGCCGCGCACUCUACACUUAGAGAACGGACUCUGCUCUCACACCACAGCGUCUUCUUUUUCUUCAGCAGCUAAACACGCACCGGCCCCGAGAUUCAAACGACUGCAGCUCAUCCACCUGCAGACGCUGGCUGACCCCGUUCCACAGCUGUGACUAUAGCUUUGAUUGGACAAGAGGUUGAUUUCAGUCUCCUGGUAAGAGACCACCAACCAUAGACCUGGUUCAGGCUGAUUAUAGAAGCUGCACACUUGUAUGCCUUCGAGUCCCUGCCUCACCUUUUGACGUGUAGGGACUCAUUGUAAUGCUUUUAAAUGUGAAGCCUCCACCCCAAAGUGAACAUGGGACGCAUGUAACGUGCAUGUUCAGUGGGCACGGCUCAGGACUCUCUUUGUGAAUAUUCAUAGCUCCUCCUGGAACCUGAAUAUGUAUGUUUGGCCAGCUCAAUUCAGCAUGAGGCUCCUGCUGCAACACCGCCUCCUUCCAGGUGCCUGCCAGCUGUUUCUGCCAGAGGCUGCGUCUCCCGGCCUGUCAGAAUGGCCACCCUGCAGGCUGUAAUCCUUUAGAAGAAAUAAAGAUCCCCUUUCCAGAUGUAUAGAUCUUGUGAUUUUUUUCCAUUCACAUCCUUGCAUCUUAUAAUGCCCUGUCUCCAUGGGGGUUACAUAGAAAGCCCUCAGCCUCUAGGGCAGAUGGAGCCAGGACUGAGGGUGGGGGUGGAGAAGGAUCAGGAGACUCACUUCAAGGACUUUCUGGUGCCGGCAGUGUAGGCUUGCCAGAUGAAAUACAGGACACCCAGCAACAUGAACUUUCGUAAUUUUUAUAGUGUAAAUGUGUUCCAAAUAUUGCAUGGGACAUGCUUAUCCUGAAGAAUUAUUCAUUGUUUAUCUGAAAUCCAAAUUUAACUAGGUGUCCUGUAUUUUUAUUUGCUAAAUCUGGUGACCCUUCACUGGGGAGACGCUUUUAAACAGCCUCAACUUAGAAAUUCUUCUCUUCCUGCCAAAAGCGCUAGGGUCUGUAUAUGGGUGCAUGGAAACACGAAAUUAUUGUCACAGGACUGAAGAGUAUGAAAGACUUCUAGUAACCACCAGCUGUGGCAGGGGCCUGUGCAGGGGGUACCCUGGCAGGGAGGAAGCUGCCUUAAUUUUCAACCUCGGACAGAAAAGCGCAUCUGUUAGACACAGCAGAAAGCAGACCUACAUGUAUGGUUAAUAAGGACUAUGUAUUUGACUGCUGUGGGUUCAAUUGUGUCCCUGCGAGAGACACAUUGAAGUCCUAACCCCUGCUGCUUCAGCAUUUGGCUUUAUUUGGAAAUAAGGUCACUGCCAGUGCAGUUAGCUGAGAUGAAAUCAUACUGGUGUCUGGUGGGCCCUUAUUCCAAUAUGACUCGUGAUAUCACAAGAAGAGGAGGACAGACACAGAGACACACUCCAGAGGGAGAAGGCCAUGUGACAGCCACGGACUGCUGGAAGCAGCGGAAUCUAAAGGCAAGGCAGGGAACAGAUUCUCCCUCCCAGUCCUUCGAGAGAACCAACUCUGCCGACAGCUUGAUUUCAGAAUUCUGGUUUCCAGAACGGUGAGAGAAUAAAUUCCUGUUGUUUUAAGCCUCCCGUUUGUGGUGCUUUGUUAUGGCAGCCCCAGGGACUAAUGCAGUCACCGUCACUUGAUUGCAGACAAAACGACUGAGGGUUCUCUGCAAUGAAUUUCAAGUUCUGAAUUGAAAGAGGCUUCAGAGCCUGAAGAAAGAGGCGAUGCCAGCACUCUCUGGAGUGGGAUCCACAGAAGCAGAGAAAGCCCAGGGGAUGAGCCAACCCAGAAUCCAAACGCCCGUGGAUCGGGCCAGACCCAGGACGGCGCUAUCUUGCACACCCAUCACAGGCUUGGGGACACUAGAACUGCACUGUCAGAUAUUCCUGACUUCAUGUGUGUGUGUUUGUGUGUGUGUAGAUCAGGCCAUAUGAUUUACUUGCUGCACUCUGAGCGAUGCUGUGUAGAUAAAGCUAUAUUAUCUAUUUGCUACACUCUGAAUAAUGCCUUCCUCAGUGAUAAUCAUAAUCAAGUGAGCUUUGGAUUGUCAUUAUGAAGUCUCAAAUUAAAACAAUUGGUUGAGAUACUGCCAGCAAGGCAACUAGAUCGGGGAUUGCAGCUGCUGAUGCCAGUCUAGUAUUUAGGUAAGAGGAUGCCUCCACCCUCUUAGAGCAUGUGGCUUGCACAUCCAUUCUUUCAGUGCAGGAAGGGCUGGAGUGUCCACUCCCUACUCCCAACCCCAUCAGUUGUUGUAUGGUCCAAAAUGCAAAGUAAUUUUAAUGUGAUCCAAGAUGCAUAUAAAAACAUUUUAAAAACAGAUAUGUUAUGCAUUGCUUAGAAUGAUGCACCAUCCGCUUCAUGAACAAGCAAGAACUAACUCUAUCAUUGACUUCAUCCACAAAUACUAGAGGUGAUGAACUUGAGGUCAAAGUUCCGAAGUCAGACAGCAUGGGUUUAUUCAUCGCCUGCUAUGUGCAAAUCCUAGAUGUCACCAGGCUCUGCUCACUUGGUGUCUUGGCCACUCUGGGUGAUGUUUACACAAGGCUUGGUGGCUUUGAGAUGGGUUGCAAACAAGAGAUAUCAGUUGUUGGACUUUUGCUUAUAGCUUGGGGUUGGACAUCCUCUAUCCCUCGAUACCUCCUUGCACCCAUCAGCCGUUAUCUUUGAAGGAAACUUUUUCCUUGAGUCUGGUUCCUUGUCUUCAGGUUCUAACCUCAUGGUUUUGGAUCCUUGUCCCUAUGGUUGUGAUCCUUCCUGUCCUUGGCUCUAGUGCUCUUUUUUUUUUUUUUUUCUAUUUCUUUCCUCUACCUGUGCACAUGACCUCUUUGAAGAGCUCACCUCCUCCAGGAAGCCUCCCUGGAAUCACCCUUUUGCCUUCCAUUCUCCUUGUUUAUACAGUCCAUGUCAGUAUAUCCAAAUUGAAUUAUCGCGGUGUGCUGCUUUGCAAUGUGUAUCUGAUUUCACCAAAACCCUCUACUGUCUCUAAUCCCGGGUAUCCAAUUUCAUGUGAAGUUCAGUGAUGUGCUCCUCCCUCCUCCUCUUGCACGCAUGAGCAGGUACUCAACACUUUCUGGUCCAGCUACAUGUGACAUGAGGCCACUCACGCUCUUUUUAAUUAACCCUUAUGACAAUCAUGUGCGUUAUGGAGAAAAUUAAUGGAGGAAAAAUUACAGAGUCACCCGAAACAGUUGCGCUGCUUAUCACCCGGUGUUUGAGCCUGUUUCCCCUGUAAUUAGAUUACAUGUGAGGCAGCCCCAGCUAAUUGUCUGUGCCACCCACCGGGGAACUCCAGCUCUAUCUGUGAACACCCAGGCCUUCCCGCCGCAGGACAGAUGUUGGGUGAGGCUUGCCUCCCACGCAAACAUCUGCUCUGUUGUUCCGAGUCAGUCACGAGAGCCAGCCGGCUUAGACAAGCAGGGGAUGAAUUCCUGGGCGAGAUGCUUGAUCCUGCCAAGUUUCUGAGCACCAGGCUUGGGCCUCUUGAACAGUUCCCUGCAUCUUCCAUGAUCGGCCAGUGCCUCUGCUUCUGCAUUUAGAAACCAGAGUUCACUUCUGGUGGCCUCAAGCCAAAAUGAGUCUACGAACCAGAAGUCUCUUGACAUUGACACUGAUAAACUUUGAUAUGGAAGCAUUUUUGUUUUUGGCAACCAUCAAUUUUUUUUUGUUUUUCCUCAAACACAUGCAUGGAUGAUGUGAGAACCGGUACCUGGAAACUGAGAGACUGCCGCAUGUGUUUCGGGCUCCCAGCUCUAUCCAUAACUGUCUUUGGGGGCUUCCUAGGCAACCUGG